CCUACGGGUGGCAGCAGUGAGGAAUAUUGGUCAAUGGACGAGAGUCUGAACCAGCCACGCAGCGUGAAGGAUGACUGCCCUAUGGAUGGUAAACUCCUUUUAUAUGGGAAUAAAACGUUCCAAGUGGGGGAAUUUGUAUAUACCAUAUGAAUAAGGAUCGGCUAACUCCGUGCGAGCAGCCGCGGUAAUACGGAGGAUCCGAGCGUUAUCCGGAUUUAUUGGGUUUAAAGGGAGCGUAGAUGGAUUGUUAAGUCAGUUGGGAAAGUUUGCGGCUCAACCGUAAAAUUGAAGUUGAAACUGGCAGUCUUGAGUGCAGUAGAGGUGGGCGGAAUUCGUGGUGUAGCGGUGAAAUGCUUAGAUAUCACGAAGAACUCCGAUUGCGAAGGCAGUUCACUGGACUGCAACUGACAUUGAGGCUCGAAAGUGUGGGUAUCAAACAGGAUUAGAUACCCGAGUAGUC
rnacentral:rRNA from 1 species